GGGGGUCACGGCGGGGUCACGGCUGCUCCUGCAGGGGGCGCUGUCGCUGCAGGAUCAGCCAAUCACCUGCCGAGCCUGGAGCGGGGGCGCUGGGCGUGGCCGUUAGCUCCGCCCACAUCCUGCGCCUGCGCCACGCCCCCCUGGUGAGCGCGGGCCCCUCCCCCGUGCUGGUUCCGGAAGGUUCCGAGGCCGUCCUGGGGCUCUCGGUCAGCGCCCAUCCCCCCCCCGAGGGCUGCGCCUGGAGCGUGCGGGGGAGGGGCAUCAGCCCCGAGGGCUCCCCGCGCUUCCGGCUGUCGCCAGGGGGCGCUCUCGUCAUCGCCAACGUCACUCGCGCCGACAGCGCCCCCCUACCGGGUGUGGUGCCGCAACGCCGAGGGCGGGGCCGGCGCUGACGUCACGCUGCUGGUCCAGGUGCCCCCCAGCAUCGUCCGCGCCCCCCGACCCGGUGGUGGUGGACGAGGGGGGGGAGGGGCAGCUGCUGUGCGAGGCCCAGGGCAGCCCCCUCCCCCCGGGGAGCGUCCGCUGGGCGCGGCUGG